UGCGGUUAUCGUGGUGAAUUAUAUGGAAAUUUCAUAAACUUGAGAACAAAAACUUCUGUUGCUACUGCAUGCUUCUCGUCCGGCAAGGAAGGCAUAAGAUUCUUCACUUUUCCAAGGGAUCCAGCACGUGGGGUGCUGUGGUGAAUACCUGGCAACAGCUGUUUGGUGAUCACCUUGUGAACACAUUUGAAGCUAUUCGUUUGUAGUCUGGUUUGAACAAUAAUCCAACUGUGGGACAGUUUGUAGAUGCCCUGAAGACUAACAUCAUCAGUGCACUUGCUAUCAGAGGUCUGUGUGGAACUAGUUGUGAGGAUGAUGGUGCUACUGUUGUGUGUAACCUAUAGUCAUUGUUCAGGGCACCUGAUGCUUCUUCACCAAAUCUGUCCACAAGUCAUGGCAAGGAAACCCCUGAUGAAUUUCCUGAGUUUCCAUGUUACUCAACAAGUACAGAAGGACAUGGUUGCUGCAGUACAUGCUGGUGACAUGGAAGUGUUCUCAGUAGCCUAUGUCAGUGGUUCCAUUGCCAGACAGGUGCUUCAUGGUGUCAGCUGUGAUGCACACAAGACAUGCGUGACAUCUGAAGUGCUGCUAUCAGCCAAUAUCUUCAUAUAUUUCUGAGACGUUGGUGUGGAGACUGUUGGUAUGCUGUAACUCUAAUAUAAUCUGUGAUGGUAGGCAAUUCAAUUCAUGUUGCAGCAUAUCACAGCUGCCAUUAAGAGCACCAUUGACUUGGAGUGGUUCAGGUGUACUGGUUGUUCACUUCACUACCAAGGAAUAGUAGAUGGUAUUGUGAGAUGUCUCACAAGAAUUUACAUUCCUUAUUGGUGUAAGCGAACAAACAGGUUGAUGACUGAAUCAGCCAGGCAAAGGGCCACAAAGAGGAAGAAUAAGAUACUGACAAAUCAGUAAGUCAUUAGGAAAGUAAUGCUUCUUCAUCUUUGCCUUGUAAUAUCCUGCCCAUACCAGCCCUGGAAAUUGGCAGAGAGCAGUUGUUGAAUUACUGGAAUAAUAUAUUCCAAUUGCUCACAAGAGCAUCUAUAGAUGUUUCAUAAGUUGGAGAAAGUAACCCUGAUGACAAGCAACUGCAACUGCAACUGCCAUGCCUUCACAUGCUCUUGUCUCAAACCUCUGGUAUUGAGUAAUUUGUUGAUAACAUUAUCACCUAGAGUCGGAUUACGUACAAGAAACCUAUUCUGAUCUUGAGCUCCCUCUCCUUGCUUUGGAGACCUGUUUCCUUCUUCCCAGAGUAUUAGAACAUCAUUGUCAGAAGAUGAUCAGAGUUCAUUCUGCCCUAUAUCUGAAAAUAAUUAUAUUUCAGUCAAGAAUUGUGUGGGAAAUUCUUUUCUGACUCAAAUGGUUCGUGUUUAUAUGUGGGUAAGAGUGAAGUGGCAUUAUUUUAUAAUUGACUUGCAAUCUUCAGGUUGCCUGAUUCAGCAUGAAACACUGAGGAGCAGAAUCAAUGUCAGGAUUCAGUGUAUAUUUUGUAACUAAAUUUAUUAACAACUUCCUAGGUAGGAAGUUUUACUUAUUAGUGUCUACAUAUUUUAUUCAUCUAAUUUGUUAUUAUGGGUAUAUCCCUUCAGUCAUUGCAUUAUUUUUGCCAUUUGAUUGUGUUCAGCAUUGAGCUUAUGAACAUAAAUAUAUAAACAUCAGAUUUUUAAGGUUCA